GGGGAGUACGGUCGCAAGAUUAAAACUCAAAGGAAUAGACGGGGACCCGCACAAGUGGUGGAGCAUGUGGUUUAAUUCGAAGAUACGCGAAGAACCUUACCUAGCCUUGACAUAUUAAAGAACACUUUAGAGAUAGAGUGGUGCCUUGNGGAGCUUUUAUACAGGUGCUGCACGGCUGUCGUCAGCUCGUGUCGUGAGAUGUUGGGUUAAGUCCCGCAACGAGCGCAACCCUCGUCACUAGUUACUAACGGUUCGGCCGAGGACUCUAGUGAGACUGCCUUCGUAAGGAGGAGGAAGGUGAGGACGACGUCAAGUCAUCAUGGCCCUUACGGCUAGGGCAACACACGUGCUACAAUGGCCAGGACAAUGAGAAGCGAUACCGCGAGGUGGAGCAAAUCUAUAAACCUGGUCUCAGUUCGGAUUGUAGUCUGCAACUCGACUACAUGAAGCUGGAAUCACUAGUAAUCGCAGAUCAGCUAUGCUACGGUGAAUACGUUCCCGGGUCUUGCACACACCGCCCGU
rnacentral:rRNA from 1 species